GGAGCUUGCUUUGAGAGUUUUUAGUGGCGGACGGGUGAGUAUCACGUGAGCAACCUGCCCAGAAGAUCGGGAUAGCCCGGGGAAACUCGGAUUAAUACCGUAUGGUAUCCGGAAUGGCAUCAUUCCGCGAUUAAAGGUGGGGAUCCUUCGGGACCCGCCGCUUCUGGAUGGGCUCGCGGCCUAUCAGCUAGUUGGUGAGGUAACGGCUCACCAAGGCGAUGACGGGUAGCUGGUCUGAGAGGACGACCAGUCACACUGGAACUGAGACACGGUCCAGACACCUACGGGUGGCAGCAGUCGAGAAUCAUUCGCAAUGGACGAAAGUCUGACGGUGCGACGCCGCGUGGAGGGUGAAGGCCCUAGGGUCGUAAACUCCUGUCAUCGGUGAGUAAGGUAGGCGGGUUAAUACCCCGUUCUAUUGAUAGUAGCCGAAGAGGAAGGGACGGCUAACUUCGUGCCAGCAGCCGCGGUAAUACGAAGGUCCCAAGCGUUGUUCGGAAUUACUGGGCGUAAAGCGUGCGUAGGCGGCGAGGUAAGUCAGAUGUGAAAUCCCGGGGCUCAACCCCGGAACUGCAUCCGAUACUGCUUUGCUAGAGUAAUGGAGGGGCAUCUGGAGUUCACGGUGUAGCAGUGAAAUGCGUGGAUAUCGUGAGGAACACUAGUGGCGAAGGCGAGAGGCUGGACAUUUACUGACGCUGAGGUACGAAGGCCAGGGUAGCGCAGUCGAGAAUCAUUCACAAUGGGGGAAACCCUGAUGGUGCAACGCCGCGUGGAGGAUGAAGGCCCUAGGGUCGUAAACUCCUGUCAUCKGAGAGUAAGCCUUGGUCGUUAAUAGCUUCCAAGGUUGAUAGUAUCCGAAGAGGAAGGGACGGCUAACUUCGUGCCAGCAGCCGCGGUAAUACGAAGGUCCCAAGCGUUGUUCGGAAUCACUGGGCGUAAAGAGUAUGUAGGCGGUGUGGAAAGUCAGAUGUGAAAUCUCCGGGCUCAACCCGGAAACUGCAUCCGAUACUACCACACUAGAGUAAUGGAGGGGUAACUGGAAUUCUCGGUGUAGCAGUGAAAUGCGUAGAUAUCGAGAGGAACACUCGUGGCGAAGGCGAGUUACUGGACAUUUACUGACGCUGAGAUACGAAGGCCAGGGUAGCGAAAGGGAUUAGAUACCCCUGUAGUCCUGGCAGUAAACGGUGCGCGCUUGGUGUGGGAGGAUUCGACCCCUUCCGUGCCGGAGCUAACGCGUUAAGCGCGCCGCCUGGGGAGUACGGCCGCAAGGCUAAAACUCAAAGAAAUUGACGGGGACCCGCACAAGCGGUGGAGUAUGUGGCUUAAUUCGAUGCAACGCGAAGAACCUUACCCAGACUUGACAUGCUCAUCAUACCUUCCCGAAAAGGAAGGGUCGGUUCGGCCGGAUGAUGCACAGGUGCUGCAUGGCUGUCGUCAGCUCGUGUCGUGAGAUGUUUGGUUAAGUCCAGCAACGAGCGCAACCCCUGUCACUAGUUGCCAGCACGUAAUGGUGGGGACUCUAGUGAGACUGCCCAGAUCAACUGGGAGGAAGGUGGGGACGACGUCAAGUCAGUAUGGCCCUUACGUCUGGGGCUGCACACGUACUACAAUGCCCAGUAUAAUGAGAACCGAGACCGCGAGGUGGAGGAAAUCUACAAAACUGGGCCCAGUUCGGAUUGGAGGCUGCAACUCGCCUCCAUGAAGUCGGAAUCGCUAGUAAUGGCGCAUCAGCAACGGCGCCGUGAAUACGUUCCCGGGUCUUGUACACACCGCCCGUCACAUCAUGGAAGCCGGUCGCACCCGAAUGCAUGCGCUAACUUUUAGAAGCAGUGCCCUAAGGUGCAGAAAGUGGCUGGGAUGAAGUCGUAACAAGGUCCCGUAAA
rnacentral:rRNA from 1 species